UACGUAGGGGCCUAGCGUUGUCCGGAUUUAUUGGGCGUAAAGAGCUCGUAGGCGGUUCGGUAAGUCAGGUGUGAAAUCUCCACGCUCAACGUGGAGGCGCCACCUGAAACUGCCGUGACUCGAGUCCGGUAGGGGAGUGUGGAAUUCCCGGUGUAGAGGUGAAAUUCGUAGAUAUCGGGAGGAACACCAGUGGCGAAGGCGGCGAUCUGGGAAGAUACUGACGCUGAGGUGCGAAAGCGUGGGGAGCAAACAGG
rnacentral:rRNA from 1 species